ensembl:lncRNA
AUGAACCUUCAGUUGUUGUUGAUGCCACAGUUGCUAUUGUUGAUGCCACAGUUGCUGUUGUUGAAGCUUCAGUUGUUGUUGAUGCCACAGUUGCUGUUGUUGAAGCUUCAGUUGUUGUUGAUGCCACAGUUGCUGUUGUUGAACCAUCAGUUGCUGUUGUUGAACCUUCACUUGUUGUUGAUGCCACUGUUGCUGUUGUUGAAGCUUCAGUUGUUGUUGAUGCCACAGUUGCUGUUGUUGAACUGUCAGUUGUUGUUGAUGCCACAGUUGCUGUUGUUGAACCAUCAGUUGCUGUUGUUGAAGCUUCAGUUGUUGUUGAUGCCACAGUUGCUAUUGUUGAUACCACAGUUGCUGUUGUUGAUACAUCAGUUGCUGUUGUUGAAGCUUCAGUUGUUGUUGAUGCCACAGUUGCUAUUGUUGAUGCCACAGUUGCUGUUGUUGAAGCUUCAGUUGUUGUUGAUGCCACAGUUGCUGUUGUUGAAGCUUCAGUUGGUGUUGAUGCCACAGUUGCUGUUGUUGAACCUCCAGUUGUUGUUGAUGCCACAGUUGCUGUUGUUGAAAUGUCAGUUGUUGUUAAUACCAGAGUUGGUGUUGUUGAACCUUCAGUUGCUGUUGUUGAACCUUCAGUUGUUGUUGAUGCCACAGUUGCUGUUGUUGAUGCCACAGUUGCUGUUGAUGAACCAUCAGUUGCUGUUGUUGAACCUUCAGUUGUUGUUGAUGCCACAGUUGCUGUUGUUGAACCAUCAGUUGUUGUUAAUGCCAGAAUUGGUGUUGUUGAACCAUCAGUUGCUGUUGUUGAAGCUUCAGUUGCUGUUGUUGAAGCCGGAGUUGUUGUUGAUGCCACCGUUGCUGUUGUUGAAGCUUCAGUUGUUGUUAAUACCAGAGUUGGUGUUGUUGAACCUUCAGUUGCUGUUGUUGAAGCUUCAGUUGUUGUUGAUGCCACAGUUGCUGUUGUUGAUGCCACAGUUGCUGUUGUUGAACCAUCAGUUGUCGUUGAUGCCACAGUUGCUGUUGUUGAACCUUCACUUGUUGUUGAUGCCACUGUUGCUGUUGUUGAAGCUUCAGUUGUUGUUGAUGCCACAGUUGCUGUUGUUGAACUGUCAGUUGUUGUUGAUGCCACUGUUGCUGUUGUUGAACCAUCAGUUGCUGUUGUUGAAGCUUCAGUUGUUGUUGAUGCCACAGUUGCUGUUGUUGAACCUUCAGUUGUUGUUGAUGCCACAGUUGCUGUUGUUGAAGCUUCACUUGCUGUUGUUGAACCUUCAGUUGUUGUUGAUGCCACAGUUGCUGUUGUUGAACCAUCAGUUGGUGUUGUUAAACCUUCCGUUGCUGUUGUUGAACCGUCAGUUGUUGAUGAUGCCACAGUUCCAGUUGUUGAACCAUCAGUUGCUCUUGUUGAACUGUCAGUUAUUGUUGAUGCCACAGUUGCUGUUGUUGAACCAUCAGUUGCUCUUGUUGAACUGUCAGUUGUUGUUGAUGCCACAGUUGCUGUUGUUGAACCAUCAGUUGCUGUUUUUAAAGCUUCAGUUGUUGUUGAUGCCACAGUUGCUGUUGUUGAACCCUCAGUUACUGUUGUUGAGCCUUCAGUUGUCGUUGAUGACCCUUGAGUUGUUGAAGCUUCAGUUGUUGUUGAUGCCACAGUUGCUGUUGUUGAACUGUCAGUUGUUGUUGAUGCCACAGUUGCUGUUGUUGAACCAUCAGUUGCUGUUGUUGAAGCUUCAGUUGUUGUUGAUGCCACCGUUGCUGUUGUUGAACUGUCAGUUGUUGUUGAUGCCACAGUUGCUAUUGUUGAUACCACAGUUGCUGUUGUUGAACCAUCAGUUGCUGUUGUUGAACCUUCAGUUGUUGUUGAUGCCACAGUUGCUGUUGUUGAACCAUCAGUUCCUGUUGUUGAACCUUCCGUUGCUGUUGUUGAAGCUUCAGUUGUUGUUGAUGCCACAGUUGCUGUUGUUGAACUUUCAGUUGUUGAUGAUGCCACAGUUGCUGUUGUUGGACCUUCAGUUGCUGUUGUUGAACCUUCACUUGUUGUUGAUGCCACAGUUGCUGUUGUUAAAGCUUCAGUUGUUGUUGAUGCCACAGUUGUUGUUGAUUCCACAGUUGCUGUUGUUGAACCAUCAGUUGCUCUUGUUGAACUGUCAGUUGUUGUUGAUGCCACAGUUGCUGUUGUUGAACCAUCAGUUGCUGUUGUUGAAGCUUCAGUUGUUGUUGAUGCCACAGUUGCUGUUGUUGAACCAUCAGUUGCUGUUGUUGAAGCUUCAGUUGUUGUUGAUGCCACAGUUGCUGUUGUUGAACCAUCAGUUCCUGUUGUUGAAGCUUCAGUUGUUGUUGAUUCCACAGUUGCUGUUGUUGAACCAUCAGUUGCUCUUGUUGAACUGUCAGUUGUUGUUGAUGCCACAGUUGCUGUUGUUGAACCAUCAGUUGCUGUUGUUGAAGCUUCAGUUGUUGUUGAUGCCACAGUUGCUGUUGUUGAACCAUCAGUUGCUGUUGUUGAAGCUUCAGUUGUUGUUGAUGCCACAGUUGCUGUUGUUGAACCAUCAGUUCCUGUUGUUGAAGCUUCAGUUGUUGUUGAUGCCACAGUUGCUGUUGUUGAACCCUCAGUUACUGUUGUUGAGCCUUCAGUUGUUGUUGUUGAACCAUCAGUUGCUGUUGUUGAAGCUUCAGUUGUUGUUGAUGCCACAGUUGCUGUUGUUGAACCAUCAGUUCCUGUUGUUGAAGCUUCAGUUGUUGUUGAUGCCACAGUUGCUGUUGUUGAAGCUUCAGUUGUUGUUGAAGCUUCAGUUGUUGUUGAUGCCACAGUUGCUGUCGUUGAACCAUCAGUUGCUGUUGUUGAAGCUUCAGUUGUUGUUGAUGCCACAGUUGCUGUUGUUGAACCAUCAGUUCCUGUUGUUGAAGCUUCAGUUGUUGUUGAUGCCACAGUUGCUGUUGUUGAACCCUCAGUUACUGUUGUUGAGCCUUCAGUUGUUGUUGUUGAACCAUCAGUUGCUGUUGUUGAAGCUUCAGUUGUUGUUGAUGCCACAGUUGCUGUUGUUGAACCAUCAGUUCCUGUUGUUGAAGCUUCAGUUGUUGUUGAUGCCACAGUUGCUGUUGUUGAAGCUUCAGUUGUUGUUGAUGCCACAGUUGUUGAUCCAUCACAGUUUGCUGCAACAGUUGGUGUAG